CAACGAGGACACGGGACCCACCAGUCGCAUAGUCAAGCGCAGCAGCCACAGUCGCAUAUAUUGCAAGGCAGUAGUAGUUCACUCCGCGAAUUUUUGUUGUGCUUGUGAAGCAUCAAACGUGCCCUGAUUUAACUUGCUCCGGUUUGGGGCAUACGCGUGUGGAAUGAAAGCUCCAAACUGGCACAUCAAUUUUGGUUUUCUUACCCGCCACCGGGCGCUGGCGGAGGUUCUUCUAUUUCUAUUCAAAUGUCGCCAAAUAUUGAUGAAUGAACCAAAAUCAUUUAGAGACUACUACUAAGUUUAACUAACCAUUACAAUCGACACACACCACCGACAACAAU